GAAAGCCUGAUGCAGCCAUGCCGUGUGUAUGAAGAAGGCCUUCGGGUUGUAAAGUACUUUCAGUUGUGAGGAAGGGUGUGUAGUUAAUAGCUGCGCAUCUUGACGUUAGCAACAGAAGAAGCACCGGCUAACUCCGUGCCAGCAGCCGCGGUAAUACGGAGGGUGCGAGCGUUAAUCGGAAUUACUGGGCGUAAAGCGCAUGCAGGUGGUUCAUUAAGUCAGAUGUGAAAGCCCGGGGCUCAACCUCGGAACUGCAUUUGAAACUGGUGAACUAGAGUGCUGUAGAGGGGGGUAGAAUUUCAGGUGUAGCGGUGAAAUGCGUAGAGAUCUGAAGGAAUACCAGUGGCGAAGGCGGCCCCCUGGACAGACACUGACACUCAGAUGCGAAAGCGUGGGGAGCAAACAGGAUUAGAUACCCUGGUAGUCCACGCCGUAAACGAUGUCUCUUGAGUGGGCUGACCUCUUCGACUGCGGUUAAUAGAGCUAAUGCGCCAGAUAGACCGAAUGAUGAGGACGCACGCGAGUGUAAAACUCAAACGAAUUACUAUUGGGCUCAACCGA
rnacentral:rRNA from 1 species